GCUCUGCUAGUUCAGUCGGAAGAGCAUGAGAUCCUUAAUCUCAGGUUCGUGGGUUCGAGCCCCACAUUGUGUG
rnacentral:tRNA from 1 species